rnacentral:piRNA from 1 species
UAAAAUUAUUUUUAAAGUGUGUGUGU